ensembl:lincRNA
CACUGAAUGAAGCAUCAAUUGCUACGUGAUUUUAUCACAAAGGCAAGGUAUAACUCAUCUCUUCCUUUCUCUUAAGCAAAUGACCUGAAUACCAUGAGGUAUCCACCCACACCUAAAAUUUAUCAUCCUAGUCAUCCCUGUUUUCUAUCAAGUUUUAUUCUUUGAUAAAAUCCCAUGAGCUUUCCCUUCAAAAUGGGUAGGAACAAACCUCAGAAUAUUCCAUCUUUAUGACACCACUGAAAAUGUUGAAUUCAGUUUUAGUGCUUUUGUUCAUUUAGAGGUGUACAGACACAAGAUUAUUCCAUUUCCUUCUGUGCUGUUCAAGGAGAGACGGUAUGAGCCCAGCUUCCGGAUGUUGAAUCAUAUGACUUGAACCAGAGGUCAGAGAAAAGAGACUUGGAGCCAGAUUGGUACACUGGGAGUUUGUUGGCACUGCUGCUGAGAGGGACGAGCCCGAGAAAAUGAAAGUAGAACUUGGCAAACAAGAAUGGAUCCUGCAGUUCAGUAGUCCAAAGCCAACAGCCAGUCCCUUGUAGAAUUUUGAAGGUGGGAUGACACUUCAACAUUCUGCUCAGCUGAGACAAGCGGUUCCCUUUGACCAAAGGCAUAUCUGAGGCUGGGAAUUUAUCCGUGACUUGUUACCAGCCAAUGUGGCAGCCAGGACAUGAAUUCCAUGGCUGUGAAAGAGAACUUGGAAGACCUCAGCAUCUGCAGCAGACAGUACGGCUUCAUCUCUGAUACAAGAAUGGUGAAAGAUGCACGGACUUCACUGUGUCGCUGCAUAGGUUGGAGUGUGGGGUGGCAUGCCCUUUCAAAACUGAAAAUCUGGAACCACAUUGCAGUCUGCGUGUUUAUUAAAGUGCAACCUCUACCAAGAAGCUCCGCCCACUUCAGCAUCUACCAGGAAGCUCCUCCUACUUCAGCAUCCACCAGGAUGAUGCUCCUGCUUCAGCUUGCACUUGACGUGAAUGAGAAGUCAAAUGCUAUCCUAAUUCCUAUCCCCUUAAGCCAUUAAAAAUUAAGAUUUCUCAGCUGGGCAGUGGUGGCACAUGCCUUAAAUCCCAGCAAUUGGGAUGCAGAGGCAGGUGGCUCUCUGUGAGUGCGAGGCCAGCCUAGUCUACAGAGAGUUUUCCAGGACAGGCUCCAAAGUCACACAGAGGAACCCUGUCUCAAAAACAAAAAUAAGAUUUCUCUUUAAAGUGAGUAGUUAUCACUCUGAAGUGCCUUUCUUUUAUGUCAAUGAUCUCUUUUUCCUAAUUUGUGAAACCAGACUGAUUCCUGACCCAACAGGUCAGUCCUAUCCUUGAAAGGAGCAAUUUUGAUGAGGAAGGUGGGUUGUGAUACUAAAAAACACUAGUACAGGGUUUACCAUGUGAACAUGCAGUUGUUAGAACACAGUAAGUACGAGGCUUGUUUCAACUCUACUACUAACUCAGUGAGCUGACUUCACCCACAUAUGGUCUCCUUGAGCACCAGCCCCCUCCUCUUGGAGCCAGAGCUUUAGGUGAGAUUAAUUACCUCCAAAGUCUUUUGCAACUAUAGUAUGUUCUCCUUAAUGCUUCAUGCUAUACCUACAAAGCAACUCUUACACAGUGAAAGAGAAUUUCCCUGAAUGAUUUUUGCAAUUGAAUAACCUAAUGCCAAAAAUGUCAGUGACAAUUCUGAGAUACCCUGCUUAGUACCCUGACAUCAUGGGAACACACACACACACACACACACACACACACACACACACACAUAUAAAAGGAUAGUGCUUAAAAGUUAAUCCUUUGUUCUGUUUUGUUGAGGAGGGCAUGCCAGUGGCAUUCUCUACCAAAAAUUUUUAAAGGUUUCACGAUUUCUGGGAUUAGUGUAAUCCAAGAUUAUACUGUGUAUAAUCAUGCAUUAGAUAUUCAAGUGGACUGGUGUCAAAGUCAAAUUGUAUGAAUUCAUAUCUUAAUUCUACAAUUAUUUUAGCUGGAAGCUAAUAUUUACCUUAGAAAGUUUGUAAAAAGGGUUUUUCAAAUACCACAUACAUGUAACUCAAGCACUUAAAAAUUCAAUAAACAUUC